rnacentral:sRNA from 1 species
AGGGGGCCUCUUCAUCAUUUCGUCAUUUGGUGGUUCUGUGGCUAAGGCCAAGGCUCCCAACGUAUCCAUAAUCAUGUUCACCCAUAGCAACUGAACAGCAGUAAGUGGUGCACUCCCUUCAAGUAAAGGGAAGAAGAGAGGACAAUUAUUAUAGACCGGCGUUAUGGAAUCAAAUACCAUAGGAAUAGGAAUAGGAAUAAUCAGUAGAUAUAUCUAAUUCUAGUUGUGGUAGCAAGUGUGCUAAUACCUAUGAUGCACGCUGAGACAAAAUUCACAAUCAGAGCCACAAUAUUAACUGUAAGCUGGAACUGCACAAACUUCUGGAUGUUUAAGUAAACUGCACGGCCCCAUCUAGCAACAUUUACAAUGGUUUCGAAAUUGUCAUCCAUUAUUAUAACAUC